rnacentral:rRNA from 1 species
CCGGACUGACUGCUAUCGGAUUGGUACUAAGCCAUGCGAGUCAUUGUAGCAAUACAAGGCGGACGGCUCAGUAACACGUAGUCAACCUAACCUAUGGACGUGGAUAACCUCGGGAAACUGAGAAUAAACCGCGAUAGAUCAUUAUGCCUGGAAUGGCUUAUGGUUCAAACAAUUUAUUGCCGUAGGAUGGGACUGCGGCCUAUCAGCUUGUUGGUGAGGUAAUGGCCCACCAAGGCUAUAACAGGUACGGGCUCUGAGAGGAGAAGCCCGGAGAUGGGUACUGAGACACGGACCCAGGCCCUAUGGGGCGCAGCAGGCGAGAAACCUUAGCAAUGUGCGAAAGCACGACUAGGUUAAUCCGAGUGAUUCCUGUUGAAGGAAUCUUUUGUCAGUCGUAAAACCACAGACGAAUAAGGGGUGGGCAAGUCUGGUGUCAGCCGCCGCGGUAAUACCAGCACCUCGAGUGGUCAGGAGGUUUAUUGGGCCUAAAGCAUCCGUAGCCGGCUUUGCAAGUCUCCGGUUAAAUCCAGCUGCUCAACAGAUGGGCUGCCGGAGAUACUACACAGCUAGGGAGCGGGAGAGGCAGACGGUAUUCUGUGGGUAGGGGUAAAAUCCAUUGAUCCAUAGAGGACCACCAGUGGCGAAGGCGGUCUGCCAGAACGCGUUCGACGGUGAGGGAUGAAAGCUGGGGGAGCAAACCGGAUUAGAUACCCGGGUAGUCCCAGCUGUAAACGAUGCAAACUCGGUGAUGCAUUGGCUUAUGGCCAAUGCAGUGCCGCAGGGAAGCCGUUAAGUUUGCCGCCUGGGAAGUACGGACGCAAGUCUGAAACUUAAAGGAAUUGGCGGGGGAGCACCACAAGGGGUGAAGCCUGCGGUUCAAUUGGAUUCAACGCCGG